rnacentral:lncRNA from 1 species
AAAACUGCAUUAUUUAUCGGAUGACCCAGUAUUAUCUCUCAAUAUUAACACCACCUCUGUUGCUAAUAUACAUCAUCAUCAUCGUUUAACAUCCGCUUUCCAUGCUAGCAUGGGUUGGACGGUUCAACUGGGGUCUGGGAAGCCCAAAGGCUGCACCAGGCCAGUCAGAUCUGGCAGUGUUUCUACAGCUGGAUGCCCUUCCUAACGCCAACCACUCCGAGAGUGUAGUGGGUGCUUUUUAUGUGCCACCGGCACGGAGGCCAGGCGAGGCUGGCAACGGCCACGAUCGGAUGGUGUUUGUUACGUGCCCACAGCACGGAGGCCAGGCGAGGCUGGCACGGCCACGAUCAGAUGGUGUUUGUUACAUGCCCACAGCACGGAGGCCAGUCGAUGCGGUACUGGCUACGGCCACGUUCGGAUGGUUUUCUUAUGUGCCACCGGCACUAAUACCACAAAAAUACAAAUUCCAUUGAUGUUCAUCGAUUUCGAUUUGUUUGAUUUUCACUUGCCUCAACAGGUCUUCACAAGUGUCCCAAGAAGGAAGGUAUGCACAGGUGGACUGACUACGUCCCAGGUAGGGGCCAUGGGUUAUGGCCUCACGUGUCUUUUCAAAUCACAAAGUUAUAGAAAUUAACGAAAUAGUCCAUGAAUUCUGUGAAGGCAAUGACUGUGCAUACACCAUAUUUGAUAGACAAAGAUGACAUCGAAUUAAUAUAUUCUUGUCGUGUUUUGAUAAUGUUUGUAGUUGCAUAAAUUAACAUAAAUUAACAUAUAUAAUAUACUUGAUGAAAUUGUGUGAUAACUCAACCACCUUAUAAAGUGCAGGUUUCUGACCUAUGAUUGCUUAGUUGUAAGAUAAUGAUCCCAAAAGUUGCGGAAUCCACUCAGAAGUAGAAUGAUGAAGGACAUCAGACACAAUGAAAGCUUCAAGUAAUACAGACAUUUACACAUUUACACAUAUAGGCGCAGGAGUGGCUGUGUGGUAAGUAGCUUGCUUACCAACCACAUGGUUCCGGGUUCGGUCCCACUGCGUGGCACCUUGGGCAAGUGUCUUCUACUAUAGCCUUGGGCCGACCAAAGCCUUGUGAGUGCAUUUGGUAGACGGAAACUGAAAGAAGCCCGUUGUAUAUAUAUGUAUAUAUGUAUCUGUGUGUGUUUGUGUGUCUGUGUUUGUCCCCCUAGCAUUGCUUGACAACUGAUGCUGGUGUGUUUAUGUCCCCAUUACUUAGCGUGUCAUAAAAUCGGUCUUUCUGUUCAUCAGGUAGCCCCGGCUGAAGGGGCUGAGAUAAUGGUUGCUAAUCCAUGUUGCAGCACUAAUCUAGUCUUGGAGGCACAUGGCCUAGUGGUUAGAGCAGUGGAUUCGCGGUCGAGGGAUCAUGGGUUCGAAUCUCAGAACCGGGCGAUGUGUGUGUUUAUGAGUGAAACACCUAAGCUCCACGCGGCUCCGGCAGAAGGUAAUGGCAAAACUUCUGCUGACUCUUUCACCACAACUUUCUCUCGCUCUUUCCUCCUGCAUCUUGCAGCUCAAUGCAACGGAUCGGCGUCCUGUCCAGGUGGGGAACCUUUACGCCAAUGAAACCGGGAAACCGGCCCUUAUGAGCCAGGCAUGACUUGAGAAAGAAUAAAGAAACUAACCUUAAGUAUUCUGUCGCAUACUCUGACUACCUCAGUUACCUUAUCAACCCAUUUCUCCACAAGAAGUAUGCCCCCACCCCCUGCCCCUGUCAGUGUUCCCUUCCCAGAAAAUCUUAUACUUAUUUUGUUCUUUGCCUUGUGAAGAACCCAGCAGAACUUCCUCUCCACCUUACAUCUCGGCUGAAGCACAAAUUCACAUCGCUCUGGGUAGAUGUUCAAAUUUCACAUAUUCCAAUUUUGUGGGUGUCGGGUGUAAUUCGAAAUAUAUUCACCAAUUCCACCCCACCACCCUUAUUCGAAAUAUAUUCACCAAUUUCACCCCACCACCCUUAUUCAAAAUAUAUUCACCAAUUCCGCCCCACCACCCUUAUUCGAAAUAUAUUCACCAAUUUCACCCCACCACCCUUAUUCGAAAUAUAUUCACCAAUUCCACCCCACCACCCUUAUUCGAAAUAUAUUCACCAAUUUCACCCCACCACCCUUAUUCAAAAUAUAUUCACCAAUUCCACCCCACCACCCUUAUUCGAAAUAUAUUCACCAAUUUCACCCCACCACCCUUAUUCAAAAUAUAUUCACCAAUUCCACCCCACCACCCUUAUUCGAAAUAUAUUCACCAAUUUCACCCCACCACCCUUAUUCGAAAUAUAUUCACCAAUUCCACCCCACCACCCUUAUUCGAAAUAUAUUCACCAAUUCCACCCCACCACCCUUAUUCGAAAUAUAUUCACCAAUUUCACCCCACCACCCUUAUUCGAAAUAUAUUCACCAAUUCCACCCCACCACCCUUAUUCGAAAUAUAUUCACCAAUUUCACCCCACCACCCUUAUUCAAAAUAUAUUCACCAAUUCCACCCCACCACCCUUAUUCGAAAUAUAUUCACCAAUUCCACCCCACCACCCUUAUGUAAAUCCGGUGGAGCAUCUGGAGUUACAAUAUUUCUUGCACAAACAUCUGUUUCUCUGCAUAUUUGUUUAAAUUUUCCUCUCCUCGCUUAUUUAUUUAUCUAUUUAUUUCUUUAAUUAAACUAAUUAUUCCUGCCAACAUUUUAAUUUUUUUUAAUAAGUAUUCACUAACACACACACAUAUAUAUAUAUAUAUAUAUAUACGCAUAUAUAUAUAUAUAUAUAUAUAUAUAGGUGCAGGAGUGGCUGUGUGGUAAGUAGCUUGUUUAUCAACCACAUAGUUCUGGGUUCAGUCCCACUGCAUGGCAACUUGGGCAAGUGUCUUCUACUAUAGCCUUGGGCCGACCAAAGCCUUGUGAGUGGAUUUGGUAGACGGAAACUGACAAAAUAUAUAGUGCGUGUGUUUUUAUUGGCUAAACUGGCAAAAUGACCAUUCCGAAAUACAACAAUAUCUGUUUCAACACACGACUUCACAUAAAAAAUCUUGCACAACAAAUAUAUAAAUGUAGAGAUCUUUGCUUAGAAAAAGCUUUCCUUUCACCCUCCAUAAAUUUCUUGGUAACACCCAGAAGCAUUUGUUACGGAAGCAGAAACUUUUGCUCUUCGACUAAAAUUUGGAUCUUGUGCUUGAAAAACAAAACUUGUAAACCCAGGGUCUUGUAAAGCAGGGCCUUGUAAAGUAAGGUAUUACUGUAUAUAGAAGUAGGGGAUAGCAGGACAGCAAGGGUACAGUUGACGGGGCAGUGAGUACAGGAUUGGGCUGCUGUAGUGAGGAAGGAGAAAUAAGCAGAGUUCUUAAAAAGAAAAGAGGAAAUAUAAUUUGGUUUAAUGGAGCAGAAUGUGUGAGAAAUAGUGGCUGUGUGGUAAGUAGCUUGUUUACCAACCACUUGGUUCUGGGUUCAGUCCCACUGCGUGGCACCUACAUUGAGCAAGUGUUUUCUACUAUAGCCUCGGGCCGACCAAAAGCCUUGUGAGUGGAUUUGGUAGAUGGAAACUGAAAGAAGCCUAUCAUAUUUAUAUAUAUAUGUAUGUGUCUGUAUAUGUUUGUGUGUCUGUGUUUGUCCCUCUAGCAUUGCUUGACAACCGAUGCUGGUGUGUUUAUGUCCCCCGUUACUUAGCGGUUCGGCAAAAGAGACCGAUAGAAUAAGUACUGGGCUUACGAAAAGAAUAAGUCCCGGGGUCGAUUUGCUCGAUUAAAAAGGCAGUGCUCCAGCAUGGCCACAUUCAAAUGACUGAAACAAGUAAAAGAGAGUAAAGAGAAUAUUACAUGUGGGUGGAAUACAGUGUUACCAAAACACCCUUUCCCUGAGAUGGGUGGUUCUUCUGAAGAACCUCAGUCUGUUGUCAUCGCCAUAAGGCCCAACAUCCUGAGACUGGUCUUGACUACUUCAUCACUUCAUCCCAUGUAUAUUGUGUGUAUGCGUUCAUCAAAUUAUAUAAUGGAUCAAUCAAGCAAUCUUGUAAUUAAUGAUUUUAUUUUCUUUUAAACUCCUAAUUAAUUAUGCAUGCUACACGUAUAUUAUAACAUUAAUUGGAGCAAAUUGGUUUAGAUUAAUUUCAGUUUGUCAGUAAUAUGGAUAAAACUGGCUGUAAAAUUGCUCUCCUUUCUACUUUGUGACAUUUCUGAUGUAGCAAUCACAUUAAUUUAUGUCUGUCGCAUAAUGUGUGACACACGUACACACAUUAUAUUUAAAGAUUUUUGAACAAAAAACUGCCCUUCCGAACCUGUUAAAAGGAUUUUGCUCCUGAAAAAUGGAGGUCAUGGAGCUCUAAAAUGUGGGAGUUAAGGCCCCUAUUGGGGGGGGGGGGGUGUCUUAAUGUCAACCAGAGAAGUUGAAUUGUUGAGAAUCUUUUUAACUUGGGUCUUAUAUGUAUUGUUCAAAUUUCUUUGAAAUAGGAAAUAUAUGUAUGUUCACUGGGUUUGUAAAUGAGAGCAAAGCUACAGGAAACCAAAAGACGAAUCACAAUAAGCAGUCGGUUACCCUACCCUAGUCGUUACCACUAGUAUUCUUCUUGCUUCAAUGCAAGAAAGUAUACUAGUCCCUUAAUAUUUGAUAUUCAAUAAGACAAUCAAUACUUCAUUUCAUUUUACUAUAUAUAUAUAAAUAUUAUUUAUAGUAUAUAUUCUAUAUUCUACAUUAAUAUUAUAAAGAAUAUAAAUAAAAACAUAAAAAAUAGAGUUGGAAUUCCUUUGAAUAAUAUAUAUAUAUAUAAAUAAGGCACAGGAGUGGCUGUGUGGUAAGUAGCUUGCUUACCAACCACAUGGUUCCGGGUUCAGUCCCACUGCGUGGCACCUUGGGCAAGUGUUUUCUCCUAUAGCCUCGGAUGGACCAGAGCCUUGUGAGUGGAUUUGGUAGACAGAAACUGGAAGAAGCCUGUUGUAUAUAUGUAUAUAUAUGUUUGUGUGUCUGUUGUGUUUGUCCCCCAAACAUUGCUUGACAACCGAUGCUGGUGUGUUUAUGUACCUGUAACUUAGUGGUUCGGCAAAAGAGACCGAUAGAAUAAGUACUAGGCUUACAAAGAAUAUGUCCUGGGGGUCGAUUUGCUUGACUAAAGGUGGUGCUCCAGCAUGGCCGUAGUCACAUGACUGAAACAAGUAAAAGAGUAUAUAUAUAUAUAUAUUAAUAGAUGCAUACACACACACACACACACAUAUAUAUAUAUAUAUACAAACAGUAUCGCCUGGCGUUGCUCGGGUUUGUAAGGGAAAUAACUAUAAAGCAUUAAAAAUGGAAAAAAAGCAUUAAAAAUGGAAAAAAAAUUAUGGUAAUUUUUUUUUAAAUCGUUGACUCGUCAUAGACAUUUUUAGAGAGUUACUUCCCUUAUAUAAUAGCGAAAAAAUGCAUUAAAAUGGAAAAAUUGAUGGUAAAUUAUUUUAAAAAUCGUAGACUCAUCGUAGACGCGCGCUAAUACCCAGAAGGGUUCGAUAUGAAUCACGACUAUAAGAUACCCGGUUUUGGUUAAACUGCACCGCAAAAUGUGGGAGUAGUUAGGAAUCUAAAUCGUAGGAGACAGACACACAACUUGACUUUUAUAUAUAAAGAUAUACACACAUAUAUUUGUUAGUAUACAUGUAUGUGUGUGUUUAUGUCUGCAACAAGCUUGCAGUGAGUGGGGUAGGAAAGUAAGAAAAAUCCAAAGUGUAUACAGGCAUGUGUGUGUGUGUGUGUGUGUAUACAGCAGAGGAAGAUGAAGCGACUGAUAUGGCCAUUCUUUAAUACACAGAGCCACUGAGAUGACAUGGAAUGGUCUUUGUUUAAAUUGGAGGAAGCUUCACCACAAGCCAUGAGUAUUUUUAACACCUUAUUCUUAUUUCAUAAGAACAGAGAGAGAGAGAGAGUGUGUGUGUGUGUGUGUGGUGGGGUGCACUGUUUUUGUGAGUAGUUUGUGACUGGCAGUGACUCUCCCUGAUUAAGAUGGCAUCAAUGUAUGUAUGUGUGUGUGUUUGUAUAUAUGUAUGUAUGUAAGUAUGUAUGUGUGUGUGUGUAUGUUUGUAUAUAUGUAUGUAUGUAUGUAUGUAUGUAAGUAUGUAUGUAUGUAUGUAUGAAUGUAUGUAUGAAUGUAAGUAUGUUUGUAUGUAUGUAUAAAUAUAUCACCGUGACUAACCAGGCUAUCAGAUGUUGCUACACAUCGCUGGUCACAAUACGCUUCGCCUUGUUUUAGCCUUCAAAUGACGCCACCCCGCUGGCUAAGCGAGCAGGCCAUCAUCAUCAUCAUCAUCGUUUAACGUCCGCUUUCCAUGCUGGCAUGGGUUGGACGGUUCAUCUGGGAUCUGGGAAGCCAGAAGGCUGCACCAGGUUCCGGUCUGAUCUGGCAGUGUUUCUACAGCUGGAUGCCCUUCCUAACGCCAACCACUCCGUGAGUGUAGUGGGUGCUUUUUACAUGCCACCGGCACAGGUGCCAGACUAGGCUGGCAAACGGCCACGCUCGGAUGGUGUUUUUUAUGUGCCACCGGCACGGAGGCCAGGCAGGGCUGGCACGGCCACGAUCGGUUGGUACUUUUUACGUGCCACCAGCACGGAGGCCAGUCGAUGCGGUGCUGGCUACGGCCACGUUCGGAUGGUUCUCAUAUAUAUAUAUAUAUAUAUAUGUAUGUAUGUAUGUAUAUACUCUUUCCUCUUUUACUUGUUUCAGUCAUUUGACUGUGGCCAUGCUGGAGCACUGCCUUUAGUCGAGCAAAUCGACCUCAGGACUUAUUCUUUGUAAGCCUACUACUUAUUCUAUCGGUAUCUUUUGCCGAACCAAUAGUAUAAGUAGAAGACUCUUGGCCAAGGUGCCACGCAGUGGGACUGAACCCAGAACCAUCUGGUUUGGAAGCAGACUUCUUACCACACAGCCACACGCAUUCUAGAUAUGGUAGCAGCUUUUUGCCUCGUUCAGCGUUUCGUAAAAAGAUAUGGCAAACGGGUGAAAUGAAUAUGGAUUCUCAGUUCAAACAGACUGAAGGAACAGCAAAGAAGAUUGCUUGCAAAUGUGAUAUAUUCAUACCAACCACCCCCAACACACUGUCGCCAAAGACAGACACACCAUGUUGAAUUUGAGAGGAAUUUUUGAAGCUUGUAAGAAAUUCACAACUGAACACUAUGUAUCAUUCACAGAAUAUUGUUUUUUUAAAAAAAUACAGGUAAAAGAUUUCAAUAUUUUACAAAAGGAAAUUUCUAAAUUUGGUGCUUUUAAUCCAAAACAUUUUAUAGUAUAGGCGUUGGAGUGGCUGUGUGGUACGUAGCUUGCUUACCAACCACAUGGUUUCAGGUUCAGUCCCACUGCAUGGCACCUUGGGCAAGUGUCUUCUACUAUAGCCUUGGGCCGGCCAAAGCCAUGUGAGUGGAUUUGGUAGACAUAAACUGAAAGAAGCCCAUCGUAUAUAUAUGUAUAUAUAUAUGUGUGUGUAUAUGUUUGUGUGUCUGUGUUUGUCACCGCCCCCCAACAUCAAUUGACAACCGAUGCUGGUGUGUUUACCUCCCCGUAACAUAGCGGUUCGGCAAGAGAGACCGAUAGUAUAACUACUAGGCUUACAAAGAAUAAGUCCUGGGUUCGAUUUGCUCGACUAAAAGGUGGUGCUCCAGCAUGGCCACAGUCAAAUGACACAUCACCUGGUCUGAUGUAUAUAUACUGUUGUGUCUGGGGAGAGUCAUUUUCUUUUUGUGCCUUAUAAUUAUACACACUCACCGGUAAAAUUUCCACUUAGUUAUUAUUUUUAUUUUCCUGAUAUUUUCAUUGCGUCUUGUAACCUUUUCAAUAGUCAAGACUCUUGAAAAGGUUGCAAGAUGCAACAUGUCUAUAUAUAUGUGUAUAUAUUUAUAUAUAUAUAUAUACUCUUUUACUUGUUUCAGUCAUGUGACUACGGCCAUGCUGGAGCACCACCUUUAGUCGAGCAAAUCGACCCCCAGGACUUAUUCUUUGUAAGCCUAGUACUUAUUCUAUCGGUCUCUUUUGCCGAACCACUAAGUUACAGGGACGUAAACACUUAUUCCUUAUUUAUAUUUACCUGAAAUUUUCGUUGCGUCUUGCAACCUUUUGAGAGUCAAGACUAUUGAAAAGGUUGCAAGACGCAACGAAAAUAUUAGGAAAAUAAAAAUAAGAAAUAAGUGGAAAUUUUACCGGUGAGUGUGUUACAUUAUAAGGUACAAAAAGAAAACACAAGAGAAUCUUAUUUCACACCUUUUCUUCUUUUUUCUGCAGGAAGUUCAACUGAAUGGCUUAACAUAUUUCUCUUCUUUCUUAUUUUCCUUUUUUAAAAAUUAUUUUGAGUGUACAUUCAACAGGUUUGAGUGUCAGGUUUUGGACCACAUCAAACGAUCUUCUGUUUUGUUAAAGAAAGCAAGAAAUAAAAGAAUGACACACUCUAUAAAGUAAAAUGUUUGCUCUUCGUGAGGAAAACCAUUUCAGUUGUUUUCACCUGGUGACCACGUUUAAACUCGUUUCUUGUAGCAAGUUGUACUGAAGCGGCGCAUGGUUUCGUUUUUGGAUGAAAGAAAAGGAAAAAGAAGAAACUGUUGAAAUUGUCUUCGUUAACCUGGCUGUAGAAGGUCUGACUCAAACAUGUCACGUACAAGGUCAGGUGUUACUGGCGAAGCAAAAAAUUA